CCCUUAGAUGUCCUGGGCCGCACGCGCGUUACACUGAUGCAUUCAACGAGCUUAUAACCUUGGCCGAGAGGCCUGGGCAAUCUUGUAAACGUGCAUCGUGAUAGGGAUAGAUUAUUGAAAUUAUUAAUCUUGAACGAGGAAUUCCUAGUAAACGCAGAUCAUCAAUCUGCAUUGAUUACGUCCCUGCCCUUUGUACACACCGCCCGUCGCACCUACCGAUUGGAUGGUCCGGUGAAGCCUCGGGAUUGUGGUUCUUGCCGCUUUAUUGUGGCGUGACCGCGAGAACUUGUCUAAACCUUAUCAUCUAGAGGAAGGUGAAGUCGUAACA
rnacentral:rRNA from 1 species